AUACUUACCUGGCAGGAGAGAUACCGUGAUCACAAAGAUGGUUUUCCCAGGGCAAGGCUUAUCCAUUUCACUUUGGAUGUGACCCCUGCAGUUUCCCCAAAUGUGAGAAAAUUGACUUCUUAAUUUGUGGUAGGGGGGACUGAGUCCGUGCUUUACCCUG
rnacentral:snRNA from 1 species